UCUGCCUGGGGAGUCUGGGGGGUGGAGGUUAGCUCGGCUAGCGGAGAGAGCGAGGGAGUGGAGGGAUCCUUUAAGUCACAAACACAAACAUGUAGAGAGAGACUUCAGCUUGCUGAUGUACCACUACCAGAGUUUCAGGGAGGUGCACAGACUGCUAGACCUGGAUCUGACAGAGGGAGACCAUGACUUUCCUGAUGCAGGAGAAGAAGCCACACAUGCAGGCGGUGAGGGGACAAGAGAGGGACCACACCCAGGGACCAGGAGGGAGGAGGGCCACACAUGUCUCCCUCAGAGAUAGCCAAUGCUAGGUCAGAAGGACGCUACAUUCAUUCCACUGGCAAGACCAAGGACCAGCAAAUCAGUUCUUUGUUCCCCUAAAGACCUCAGCCAAUCCCCUGCAUUUCAUGGCUCGUCUGCCAGUGACAGCAAGAGGUCAGAGGUCAGGAAGUCUCGAGGCAGCAGGCUCACCAGUCUGGGGGAGAGUACUGCGUCAGAGAGGAGGGGCUCCAAACUGCAGCCUGGGACCAGGAGAGUGUAAUCUCAGGUCAAUUACUUGAGAGACUGGAUCAAGCUUCCAUUACAUUUUUGACUACUUAUUCACCUACCUGGUGUCUGCUGUGAAAGAAAAAAUGUCAUUACUUUUUGCACACUAUCCACCCAUAUCCUGUUCAUGACUGAAAACACAAUGUAAUUGCAUCUAACUUGUUUCCAAAACAUGUUCAACCAACAAAUAUCUGAAUUUGUACUUUUUAGUAAUUUAACUGACACUCUUAUCCAUAGCUAGGUGGGACAACCACAUAUCAUAGGCAUAGUAAGUACACUUUUCCUCAAAGUAGCUAUCAAUCAGUAAAGUCAGAGCUAGUAAGUGAGGAAAAAGUGUAUAGGUCUAUGCAUAUGAAAAAUCAUGUUGAAUAAUAAGAAUGAUGUUCAUUUAUCUUGACAAUUCAGCAAUAUCUUCUAAACCAGCAGUAAAUUGUCUCUCAAACCCUCUGCGUGAUAGGAUAGGAUAGGAUCAUCUCACCCGAGAUGUGUGCUCUGAGAGGGGUCACCUGACUCCUGCAGCACCCAGUCCCUUCCACCAGAUGGCCACAGCGAGGUGAGCUACUCUCCUACUCCUUCCCUCUCUCUCCAGUCAGUGACUUGGCUGUAAUUCUCACCGAACCUCACAUCACAUUCCUCACUCUCUCUCUCACACACUUACAUGCCCUUA